GGGGGCGCUCCGGUUUCGACGGGGGCAAGGGGGUUAGGGCUGCGUGCCGAGGUCCCAUCUCCUCGUGAAAAGGUGGGAACACAAGCAACUGCCAACCACGAAUUGGCACUGGCUGCCUAAGGGUGGCCACGUCCAACCUGCUUCGUCCGUCGGGCAGGAUCUGGGCGCCGUCUAGACGGGCUGGCCUUCCUCUAUCGCUCUGGAGAGGCGGGCGAGACCAAGUGAGCUAGCCGCUCCGUGACCCCGCCUGUGGGGGCUGGGAGGGGCGAACGAGCAUUCGCAGGCUACGCACGUAGAUGUCCUUUCCGACAUGUCCUCGGACGCGGGUUCGACUCCCGCCGCCUCCACCA
rnacentral:tmRNA from 1 species